rnacentral:snRNA from 1 species
AUACUUACCUGGAAGGGGAGAUACCAUGAUUAUGCAGGUGAUUUCUCCAGAGUGAGGUUAAUCCAUUGCACUCCGUGUGUAUUGACCCUAAAUUCGAGGAAACUCGACUGCAUAAAUUUGUGGAUGGGGGAACUACUCCCUG